GCGUUGAAGGUUGGGUCCUACGCAACGGGAGUUUACAAACUCCGUCAGGCCCGGAAGGGAGCAGCGGUAAGUAAAUCUUUCCGUGUGCCGUAGGGGUACCUGAC
rnacentral:SRP_RNA from 1 species